ACGUCACAGCUGUUUCGAAAAGUGUGUUUCCAUCUCCCAUUUUGCGAAUUUACCCUCUUUUGCAUUUCUCAAAAACCACUUCAAGCGAGCAGAUAAACCUUUUUGCGAAUUAGAGGAUUUUUAUGCGAAUUUUGGUGUUUCCAUCACCGUUUACUGAUUCGACACUUCAAAGUUUGAAUAAAAUCAGGGGGAUGGAAACGAACCAUCUCUCUCUCUCUCUCUCUCUCUCUCUGAUUGAGCGGAAGUUGCGUGAUUUGCGGAGCAGAGCGGAGCGUGUGUGAGAGCGAUAUUGAGAAGUUUUUGCAAACUUUUUUCAUAGUUUUUUUCAGUAAAUGUUAUAUAUAUGGUUGGGUGAAGGUUUUUCGAGGUGUUUGGUGGUUUUUGGUGCUACUUUGGGGUGUUUUUUCGCGAUCGACCAGCGGCCGCUGGUCGGUGCGCCUAGAGUAUGGCGGUGUUCGAGGGGCUCAGCCGCAAGCAUGGCUUCAAGAUCUCCACCACCUUCCCGUGUUCAGUGGAGGACUGCAGUCUGGCAGUGGCAGACGUUGUCGGGCACAGCAGCAUCAAGUCCGCGGCCCGGAUGAACGGAGGGGUCGUUAUUUUUGUGGACAGCGUGGCCAAGGCAUACCAAGUGGUGGAAUCUGGGAUCGUUGUGAAUGAUUUGUUUGUGUCCGUGUCUCCGCUUACAACGCCGGCAGCGACGAUUACUAUUUCUAACAUCCCUCCGUUCAUCGGCGACGAGGUUCUGGUUCGGGAACUAUCGAGACACGGGAAAAUAAUGUCUCCAAUCAGGAAGCUGCCGUCAGGCUGCAAGUCUCCCCUGCUGCGGCAUGUCGUGUCACAUAGACGGCAAGUGCACAUGAUUCUGAACAAGAAGGACAGUGAACUGAGUUUAGUUUUUCAAUUAAGGGUGGAUGAUUUUGACUAUGCUGUGUUUGUAAAUUCUGGAACUCUGAAGUGUUUUGGCUGCGGGAAAGAAGGGCAUUUAGUCAGAGCUUGCCCGGAAAUAGCCCCAAAAAAUCGGCCUGAGCCUACUGAGGCGACAGCAGGCCCCUCCAAAGAUGUGGACGCUGUAAGACAGCGGGCUGCAAGCAUUGACAUCACAGAAGAAAAUGUUGUAACUGCAAAGCAGUGUGGGGAAAAUCCAGAAAAGGCUUUUCUAUUAUGUGUUGACAAUGGAAAAAAGAAUGAGUGUGUUGUUCAGGAGAAGGGGGACAAUGUUACAGAACCAGCAGAGAGUGUAGAGGCUGGGCCCAGCUCUGCUGCAGUAGAGCAGAGUGACAGUGAGGGUGGGUUGAUGGAGGAGGAAGACAGUAGGUGUAAGGCUCCCCUUCUUAAAAGGAAACAGAUCAGUGAAACCUGUGGCUCUAAAGCCAAGAAAACAGCAGAUGGGGAGGAGAAGGAGUUGCAGACAGAGUCUAGUGAUGAAGAGACAGAGUCCAGUGAGGAGGAGGAGGAGAUGGUGGACUGUGUAACAGACAGCCAGCCCCUCACUGACUCACCACUGGUUUCUGCUUCACAGCUGGAUGGGAUGUACUCAGUACAUAGCAUACAGGUGUUCUUGAAAAGAACAAAAAAUAUGAAGUCCAGUAUGAUAAACAUUUUGCAGACAAAAAAAUGCUGUUGCUAUCUGUAAAAUCAGAUGAACAUCAGAGGGGAGGGAGGUUUCACUGAGAAGGAGUAUUACAGAUUGAAAAAAUUGGGCAGAGACUAGCAAAAGAGCUAAGCAAUGUUGAAGAUGAAGAGGGUAUAUAAAGCAGUGUGCCUGCUGUCUCUCAUAACGUCAGCUUGAACGAGUCACUUUGCACUGUCAAUGUGUUGUUGUUGUUUUUUUAACUAAGUUUUAUUGAGUGUGUUUAUUAAGUUAUUUAUCAUUUAUUGCUGUCUAACCUAAAGUCUUUGUUGUCUGUGUUAAAAGGUUAAUUGUUGAAAGAAACGUUGAAUAAAGUUUUUUUCAAAAUCAAAAAAAAUCUCUCUCUCUCUCUCUCUCUCUG
ensembl:lncRNA